rnacentral:rRNA from 1 species
AACGAACGCUGGCGGCAGGCUUAACACAUGCAAGUCGAGGGGCCCGCAAGGGCACCGGCGCACGGGUGCGUAACGCGUGGGAACAUGCCAUUGGGUGCGGAACAACGUUUGGAAACGAACGCUAAUACAGCAUAAUAUCUAAGGAUCAAGGAUUUAUCGCCCAAGGAUUGGCCCGCGUUAGAUUAGGUAGUUGGAGAGGUAAUGGGUCAACAAGCCGACGCUCUAUAGCAGAUCUGAGAGGAUGAUCAGCCACACUUGAACUGAGACACGGUCCAAACUCCCACGGGAGGCAACAUUGAGUAAUAUUGGACAAUGGGGUAAACCCUGAUCCAGCCAGGCCUCGUGAGUGACGAUGGCCUUAGGGUUGUAAAGCUCUUUCAGGUGCGAAAAUAAUGACACUAUCACCAGAAGAAGCCCCGGCUAAAUUCGUGCCAGCCGCCGCGGUAA